CUCAUCUACAAAAAACAAACAAAUACUUGUUAUACUUUUAUGAAUUGUCAAGUUGUACAACACACAGCAAUUAAGAUUAAGACAAACAAAAAAUCACUGAUUUUAUUAAUUCCAUUGUUGUGUCUAAUAUAUAGAAACAACUUGUGUUGUAAAAGGAAAGAUGACAGCCAGAUGACGUCAAAGUAUCGCGAGAGCGAGACGAAAUUUGAUUUCUUGAAUCCUUCUCGCGGUACUCUGACGUCAUCCGGCUGUCAGUCUUGCGGCGCCGCAUGAAGUCAAAUAAGCCUCCUGACUGCGUGCGAGAACAUUUUGAAUUAUCUGGCACGAGGCAUCACACGUCAAACUUCAACUGACACAACGGUCUCGGUGAAGGGAAUAAGCAAAAGCUCCUUUAAAUUUCGUCAUUUUUUAUACACAUCCCGUUUAUUUUGUAGUUAAUUGUUAGAUAAGUAAGUAAUUUCGUCAAGUUUUCGUUACAGAGUAAGAUUUCGUUAUCAUCGUUACCAUAUACAGUAUUUAUAUUGGUUCAAGAGCGCAGUUUGAUAACUCAUUCAAGCCUUUAAACAUCUAAACAUGUCCUCCAAAAAGGAAAAAGGGAAAAACACUGGAAAACAAUUUCAGCCUAAGGUUUGAGAUGGCUAACUGUGUACAUUGCCUUUGUGUACUGCAAGCUGAACUUACAGAUUUAUAUGGACUUUACUUACAGGUUUCCUGUGCUGUUUUGCUCCAUUUUACAGAACAAAAUAAGGCUGAGGUAGCACCAUCCUUGUGGUUAGAGUGAAAGAAUGUGGGUAUUGAGACCAAAAUAAAUAAUGUGCCAUUCUGGACAAACAGCUGUGGACAAUACAAGCAGUCAGAGUAGCCCAUUUUCUCACACAGAUGAGGAGCAACCAGUAAGAAAAAGCAAAAAGAUGUUUUGAUGUUGCCUGAGGCACCUUAUUCACAUCAGUCAAUUUCUUCCAAUAAUGAAUCAAGAAAUCCUGGAGUGUGGAGAAUCAUUCUGAAAGUAGACCAAAUACAGGACAACACCACAGCAGUGGUUGGAAAAAUGCAGCAGACAAUGAGCAAACCAAGCUGACUUUCAAAAGAUGAUUCGUUAUCUGUUUCUUCAAAGGGGAGGCAGUUUGGGAGAUGGGAAAUAGGAGGAUGCUUCAGCUACACAGGGCGAAUUUCAGCAGCUCAGUUUCACACUUGCAACUAACAAUGAAUUAUAGUUAGAAGACAACGGAAAUAUUUGACAUGGGAGUCCAGCAGACAGCCAGAGACACGCACACACACGGAGCUGAAGCGCGUUUGACUGACGCGUACGGGAGAUCAGGCACGCGCACGGGAGCUCGCUCGCGCACGCACACACAAACACGGAGCACAGGAAAAUUACACCUGUUCAAUUAAAAUAAAAGAACUUUGUGGUAAACAAUGUUUAGCGUGUCUGAUUUCAUUGGUUGUAAUGAAAUAAAACGAUGUGCUGAGGACUUUAGGCGAACGUCCCCUAAAAGUCCCGAAAGUCCGCUGACCGUCCUGCAAACGUCCUUGUGAAAGUCCGGAGGACGUCUUCGCGGACGUCCGCUCGACGUAACAGGGGACCCUACACGAUAACGUCCAGGGGACGUUCGCAGAGGACAUUUAGGGGACGUCCAGGGGACCUUUUUUUG